rnacentral:lncRNA from 1 species
UGAGAAUACUCUUUUUUCCAUUUCUGGACUUUUCCAAGAAGACAAAUCUGGAUCCAUUUUGUGAAGACAUGAUGAGUGUAAAUGUAGAAAUUAAAAAAAAAAGAUGAGAAAAUCUUUAUAUAUGUACUCUCUGUAAGAUGCAAUGAAACCAACCCCUUGUCAAAAUAAAUUAACUCCACCCAUCCCAAAAAGCUUCAUAUCAUACCAUUAGUCCGUUUUGAAGCAUAAAAAAUUGAAUAAGUCAAUUUGGGAAAUUUACCCACCCACAAAUUUCCCGCCAAGUCCCACAUUUAUUCAUACAAAAAAAAAUAACACUUGCACAUAACACAACAAAUAGCAAUAAAGAAUAACAUUGACUUCAUAUCACAUGAAAUACAUACCAGACGAAAAAAGACAACGCAAGAAAAGGGGAACACUUACACAAAGCAGACGGGUGCACUCUGCUGAAACCAUAUAAUUCACCCCAUGGUUUCCGCGAGGAAGAGUAGCCAACGAAAAAAGACGAUGUAUUUAAAUGGUAAAAUAUUAGUUUAUUCUAAAUUAUUAAUUUUUUUUUUAUGUGCACAUAACACAACAAAUAUCACAGCCAAUAAAGAAUAACAUUAACUUCAUAUCACAUAAAAUAUAUAAUCAGAGGGAGAAAACAAAGACAACGCAUGAAAACAGGCGCACUGUACUGAAACCAUAUAAAUAUACCGCGAGGAGGAGUAGCCAACGAAAAAAGACGAUGUAUUCAAAUGGUUAAAUAUUAGUUUAUUUUAAGUUAUUAUAUUAUUUUUCACAGCAGAAUCGUAAAAUUUCCGUGGAUAGAUUGCAGA